AGUGAACGCUGGCGGCGUGCCUAAUACAUGCAAGUCGAACGGAGAUUAAGUAGCUUGCUAUUUAAUCUUAGUGGCGCACGGGUGAGUAAUAUAUAGCCAACUUGCCCAUUACUAAGGGACAACAGUUGGAAACGACUGCUAAUACCUUAUACUCCGUAUCUAUAUAAGUAGAUACGGGAAAGUUUUUCGGUAAUGGAUAGGGCUAUAUCGUAUCAGCUAGUUGGUAAGGUAAUGGCUUACCAAGGCUAUGACGCGUAACUGGUCUGAGAGGAUGAUCAGUCACACUGGAACUGAGACACGGUCCAGACUCCUACGGGAGGCAGCAGUAGGGAAUAUUGCUCAAUGGGGGAAACCCUGAAGCAGCAACGCCGCGUGGAGGAUGACACUUUUCGGAGCGUAAACUCCUUUUCUUGGGAAAGAAUUAUGACGGUACCCAAGGAAUAAGCACCGGCUAACUCCGUG
rnacentral:rRNA from 1 species